rnacentral:tRNA from 1 species
GCCCUCGUAGUUCAACGGAUAGAAUGUGGGCCUCCGAAGCCCAAGAUUGAGGUUCAAUUCCCCACGAGGGCA